rfam:Candidatus Pacebacteria bacterium RIFOXYD1_FTLL_39_27 rifoxyd1_full_scaffold_9, whole genome shotgun sequence.
AAUAAUGUGAAUUAACGCAAAUAGUGAAUGCCUAGGCUUAUCUAGCCGAUGAAGGACGCCAAGCCCGCGAUAGUCGCCGGGGAGCUGGCUAAAAGCGCCGAUCCGGCGGUGUCCGAAUGGGGUAACCCGGUCAUGAGAGAUCAUGAUUACCCUAAACCCUUGUGGUUUAGGGGGGUAAGCAGGGGAACUGAAAUAUCUAAGUACCCUGAGGAAAAGAAAUCGUAAGAGAUUCCCUGAGUAAGCGACGAGCGAAAAGGGAAAAGCCCAAACCCCGCUAAGGCGGGGGGUUGUAGGACUUCAAUAUGAGACUUUUUAAGACAAAAGAACACUGUGGAAUAAGUGGCCAAAGAACGUGAAAGCCGUGUAUUUAAAAUCAAGAAAAGCUCUAGAAGAUUCCUGAGUAGGUUGGGAGACGGCAAACUCCCUUCUGAAGCUGGUGUGACCACACUCCAAGGCUAAAUACUAGAUAAGACCGAUAGUGAACGAGUACCGUGAGGGAAAGGUGAAAAGAAGGGUGGAAGACCCCGUGAAAUAGAUUCUGAAACUAUUUGCUAACAAUCAGACAAAGUUCUGCUUCGGCGGAAUAAUGUCGUGCCUAUUGAAGAAUGAGCCAGUGAGUAUUUGAUACCUGCUUUUGGUUAAUCCGUUCCGCGGAGAAGCCGUAGUGAAAGCGAGCCUUAAUAGGGCGUCUGGUAGGUAUUGAAUGACCCGAAACCAGGUGAGCUAACCAUGACCAGGGUGAGUUUCGUCGAAAGACGGAAGGAAGCCCGCACCGGUGUAUGCUGCAAGAUGCUCGGAUGAGUUGUGGUUCGGAGUAAUAUGCUAAUCGAACCUGGAGAUAGCUGGUUCUCCCCGAAAUAUAUUUAGGUAUAGGGUCACGUUAAGCAUGCUGGGGGUAGAGCACUGAUCGGGUGUUCCCGUCGAAAGAUGGGACAUCUAGUCAAACUCCGAAUACCAGUGUGUGUUUCGUGGCACUCAGUAUCCGGGAGCUAAGUUCCGGAGGCAAAAGGGAAACAUCCCAGACCUACAACUAAGGUCUCUAAUACAUGUUGAGUGGAAAAGGAAGUUUGUGUCCUAAGACACCUAGGAGGUCGGCUCAGAAGCAGCCAUCCUUUAAAGAAAGCGUAACAGCUCACUAGCCGUAGGAUGCAUGCGUCGAAAAUUUAACGAGGCUAAAACAUGUAACCGAAGUUUAGGCUUCCUCGCUUUAGCGAGGAGGGGUAGGGGAGCGUUCUGUGUACUGUGAAGGUGUCCCGUGAGGAGACGCUGGAGUGAUCAGAAGUGAGAAUGCUGGCAUAAGUAGCGAGAUUGGGGUGAGAAUCCCCAACCCCGAAUGUCCAAGGUUUCCGCACCCACGUUCGUCGUGUGCGGGUUAGGCGACCCUAAGGUAAGCCCUGUUUAAUGCAGGGGUAGCCGAUGGAUUACUGGUUAAUAUUCCAGUCCUUGGUAUAAAUCGUUUGACUUGGGUGGUGACGGCGAUGGAUAAGAUAUGCUCGGAAAUGAAUUUCGAGUCUAAGCACUAAAGCAGUUUUGACAGGCAAAUCCGUCAAAGCGUUUAUCUGAAGUGUGAUGGGGCUUUUCCGCCUAGCGGAAUUGCUAUGUCUGAUUUCAUUGUCCUAGAAAAGCCUCGCAAGAAGAUUUGUAUCAAAUCGUACCGACAACCGACACAGGUGGACAGGUCGAGUAGACCAAGGGGAGCGAGAGAAAGUAGUUUAAGGAAUUCGGCAAAACAGCUGGGCGUAAUUUUGAAAGAUGCCCUUCCCGCCUCUGGCGGGACACAGCAAAUGUCGUAGGGUUGACUGUUUAACAAAAACACAGGUCCAUGCCAACUCGUAAGAGGAAGUAUAUGGGCUGAAACCUGCCCGGUGCCGGAAGGUUAAUUGACUGGGUUGCUCUCCACUUCGGUGGGGAAUGGCCUGGAAUCGAAGCCCCGGUGAACGGCAGCAGUAACUAUAACUGUUCUAAGGUAGCGAAAUUCCUUGUCACUUAAUUGGUGACGCGCACGAACGGCCUAACAAGCCCUACACUGUCUUGAACUAUUACUCGGCGAAAUUGAAAUGGCCGUGAAGAUGCGGCCUACUAACAGCAGGACAAAAAGACCCCGUGAAGCUUUACUACAACUUAACACUGAUUUUGUAAAUGGAAUUGUCUAGGAUAGGCGGGAGCUUCGGCAUUUAUUGUCGAGGCGUCAGUGUAAUACCGCUCGUUUUAUUUAUAAAAUCUCACCGUCUUUACUGCAAUCGUAAAGAGGAACACUGUUUGGUGGGUAGUUUAACUGGGGAGGUUGCUUGCUAAAAGGUAACGCAAGCGCGCAAUGGUACCCUUAGCCUGGAUGGAAAUCAGGCUGGACGUGCAAUAGCAUAUGGGUGCUUUACUGUGAGGCAUACGAGCCGAGCAGUUGCGAAAGCAGGUUAUAGUGAUCCACGUGAACUUUGUGGAAGGUUCCGUGCUUAACGAAUAAAAGCUACUCCGGGGAUAACAGAGUCAUCUCGCCUAAGCGUCCCUAGCGUCGGCGAGGUUUGCUACCUCGAUGUCGGCUCAUCGCAUCCUGGGGCUGAAGAAGGUCCCAAGGGUUUGUCUGUUCGCCAAUUAAAGCGGUACGCGAGCUGGGUUCAGACCGUCGUAAGACAGGUCGGCCUCUAUCCGCUGUUAGCGUUAGAUAAUUGAGGAAAUUUGCCCCUAGUACGAGAGGACCGGGGUGAGGAGAUCCCUAGUGUUCCGGUUGUCGCUAUCAAGCGCAUUGCCGGGUAGCUACAUCUCAAAGGAUAACCGCUGAAAGCAUCUAAGCGGGAAGCCCCUUCCAAGAUUAAUUAUCUCCAUGAGACCCGUGGGAGACUACCACGUUGAUAGGCGGUCGGUGUAAGCUUGGUAACAGGCUGAGCCUAACCGUACUAAGUGUCCAUUGAACAUUAUUAA